rnacentral:rRNA from 1 species
GACGUCAAGUCAUCAUGGCCCUUACGGCCUGGGCUACACACGUGCUACAAUGGUCGGUACAGAGGGUUGCCAAGCCGCGAGGUGGAGCUAAUCCCAUAAAACCGAUCGUAGUCCGGAUCGCAGUCUGCAACUCGACUGCGUGAAGUCGGAAUCGCUAGUAAUCGCGAAUCAGAAUGUCGCGGUGAAUACGUUCCCGGGCCUUGUACACACCGCCCGUCACACCAUGGGAGUGGGUUGCACCAGAAGUAGCUAGUCUAACCUUCGGGAGGACGGUUACCACGGUGUGAUUCAUGACUGGGGUGAAGUCGUAACAAGGUA